rfam:Triticum urartu cultivar G1812 contig1211179, whole genome shotgun sequence.
UAGAUACUCCCUCCGUUCGGAAUUACUUGUCUCGGAUAUGGAUGUAUCUAGAACUAAAAUACAUCUAGAUACAUCCAUUUUCUGCGACAAGUAAUUCCGAACGGAGGGAGUACAUG